rnacentral:rRNA from 1 species
UAUUAUUUAAAAUGUAAAAAUAAACACUUAGGUAGUAUUAGUUAUGUUCUUGAAACUUAAAAAAUUUGGCGGUAUUUUAGUCUAUUCAGAGGAACCUGUCCUGUAAUUGAUAAUCCACGAUGUACCUCACUUAAAUUUGUUUUCCGUUUAUAUACCGUCGUUAUUAGAAUAUUUUAUGAGAAUAAUAAUUUUCAAUAAUUUAGUUUAUAAUUUAUAUCAGAUCAAGGUGUAGCUUAUGUUUAAGAAGAGAUGGGUUACAAUAAAUUUAUUUAAACGGAUUUAUUAUUUAAAUAUUUUAAUGAAGGUGGAUUUGAUAGUAAAAAUUAAAAGAUUAUAGUUUUGAUUUUAGCUCUAAAAUAUGCACACAUCGCCCGUCACUCUUGCUAUUAAGGUAAG